AUUCCCUUAGUAGCUGCGAGCGAACAGGGAAAAGCCCAGCACUGAAUCCCGUGGCCGGUGACCCGGACACUGGGAAAUGUAGUGUUAGGGAGGACUCGUUUAUCCUAAGACUGUACGGUGCGUCCAAGUCCUUCUUGAAUGAGGCUAUUGCCCAGAGAGGGUGCCAGGCCCGUAGGGGACCACUGUCUGUUUUUGGAGAGUCUCUCCUCAGAGUCGGGUUGCUUGAGAGUGCAGCCCUAAGUGGGUGGUAAACUCCAUCUAAGGCUAAAUACGACCACGAGACCGAUAGCGAACAAGUACCGUGAGGGAAAGUUGAAAAGCACUUUGAAGAGAGAGUUCAAUAGUACGUGAAACCGUUCAGGGGUAAACCUGAGAAACCCGAAAGAUCGAAAGGGGAAAUUCAUUCGUAAUUCGGCGUUUGGCAUGUGUGUGCGUCAGUACUAUGGGUGGUGGGCUUGCCUCAUCACCCCAUGGCUGCCACAUGUAUGAUCCAGAUCCGUUUGCGUGCACUUUUCCCCUAGUAGAACGCCGCGAUCUGUUGGUGAUCAAUUGACGGCCCAGUGGGGAGACUGUGCGUCUCUGUUUGCUCGUCAGGCAGUGCACUGUACAGACCCACACGGUGUCCGAAUUUGAUGUUGGCCGACAGUAUCAAAAUUUUUAAGGCACAGAGCGCAGUUGUGCGUCCGGCCCAUGGCAAGCGGGUCUGGUGUUUAUCGGUGUGUCAUACCAAUAUGGUAUGGCCCCGGUCCCAGGUCUCUGUUGGCUGUGGUGUCCUCGGACAGUCUCUGUAACGCCAAUUAGCGGCGCUAUAGCUUUGGGUACUUUCAGGGCCCGUCUUGAAACACGGACCAAGGAGUCCAGCAUGUGCGCGAGUCAAUGGGACAAAACGAAACCCAAAGGCGAAAUGAAAGUAAACGUUUGCCUAAGUGUAAACUAAGGGAAGAUGGGUGGUCCAUUUAGUGGCCGCCUCGCACUCCCGGGGCGUCUCAAUGUCUCAUUGCGAGACGAGGCGCACCUAGAGCGUACACGCUGGGACCCGAAAGAUGGUGAACUAUGCCUGGUCAGGACGAAGUCAGGGGAAACCCUGAUGGAGGUCCGUAGCGAUUCUGACGUGCAAAUCGAUCGUAUGAACUGGGUAUAGGGGCGAAAGACUAAUCGAACCAUCUAGUAGCUGGUUCCCUCCGAAGUUUCCCUCAGGAUAGCUGGCGCUCGCUGAGCACUGAGUUUCAUCCGGUAAAGCGAAUGAUUAGAGGUAUUGGGAUCGAAACGAUCUCAACCUAUUCUCAAACUUUAAAUGGGUGAGAUCUUCGGCUUGCUUAAAGCAAAUGAAGCCGUAAGAAUAAUAUAUAAAUGAAUCAGAGUGCCAAGUGGGCCAUUUUUGGUAAGCAGAACUGGCGCUGUGGGAUGAACCAAACGUUGAGUUAAAGCGCCUAAAUUGACGCUCAUGGGAGACCAUGAAAGGCGUUGGUAACUUAAGACAGCAGGACGGUGGCCAUGGAAGUCGGAAUCCGCUAAGGAGUGUGUAACAACUCACCUGCCGAAGUUACUAGCCCUGAAAAUGGAUGGCGCUUAAGCGUCAUGCUUAUACUCGACCGUCAGUGGCAGUAGCGUUUAUGGCAAGCAAUUGUCGUAUUCAUGAAGCCCUGAUGAGUAGGAGGGUCGCAAUGGUGAGCGCAGAAGGAUUGGCCGUGAGGCCGUCUGGAGCCGCCAUUGGUGCAGAUCUUGGUGGUAGUAGCAAAUACUCCAGCGGGGCCCUGGAGGACUGACGUGGAGAAGGGUUUCGUGUGAACAGUAGUUGCACACGAGUCAGUCGAUCCUAAGCCCUAGGCGAAAGCCAAAGUUGAUGUAGUGUAUUAAAAGGUACACAAAACAAAGUUGUAAAAUUAAAAUACAAUAAGUAUUGUACAAUUUUAUAUGUUAAAACUAUAAAUGACCACACUCAUUGGGCGAAAGGGAAUCCGGUUUCUAUUCCGGAACCUGGCAGCGGAACCGUAUAUAAGUCGGGCCCUCAUUUGAGAGACUCGUCGGGGUAACCCAAACUGACCCGAAGACGCCGUCGGGAGGUCCGGGAAGAGUUUUCUUUUCUGUAUGAGCGUUCGAGUUCCAUGGAAUCCUCUAGCAGGAAGAUAUGGUUUGGAACGCGAAGAGCACCACACUUGCAGUGGUGUCCGGAUCUUCCCCUCGGACCUUGAAAAUUCGGGAGAGGGCCACGAGUACUUUCGCGCCAGAUCGUACCCAUAUCC
rnacentral:rRNA from 1 species